rnacentral:rRNA from 1 species
GAUGAACGCUGGCGGCGUGCCUAAUACAUGCAAGUCGAGCGAACAGACGAGGAGCUUGCUCCUCUGACGUUAGCGGCGGACGGGUGAGUAACACGUGGAUAACCUACCUAUAAGACUGGGAUAACUUCGGGAAACCGGAGCUAAUACCGGAUAAUAUAUUGAACCGCAUGGUUCAAUAGUGAAAGACGGUUUUGCUGUCACUUAUAGAUGGAUCCGCGCCGCAUUAGCUAGUUGGUAAGGUAACGGCUUACCAAGGCAACGAUGCGUAGCCGACCUGAGAGGGUGAUCGGCCACACUGGAACUGAGACACGGUCCAGACUCCUACGGGAGGCAGCAGUAGGGAAUCUUCCGCAAUGGGCGAAAGCCUGACGGAGCAACGCCGCGUGAGUGAUGAAGGUCUUCUGAUCGUAAAACUCUGUUAUUAGGGAAGUACAAAUGUGUAAGUAACUAUGCACGUCUUGACGGUACCUAAUCAGAAAGCCACGGCUAACUACGUG